rnacentral:rRNA from 1 species
GACGAACGCUGGCGGCGUGCUUAACACAUGCAAGUCGAACGGAAAGGCCCUGCUUUUGUGGGGUGCUCGAGUGGCGAACGGGUGAGUAACACGUGAGUAACCUGCCCUUGACUUUGGGAUAACUUCAGGAAACUGGGGCUAAUACCGGAUAGGAGCUCCUGCUGCAUGGUGGGGGUUGGAAAGUUUCGGCGGUUGGGGAUGGACUCGCGGCUUAUCAGCUUGUUGGUGGGGUAGUGGCUUACCAAGGCUUUGACGGGUAGCCGGCCUGAGAGGGUGACCGGCCACAUUGGGACUGAGAUACGGCCCAGACUCCUACGGGAGGCAGCAGUGGGGAAUAUUGCACAAUGGGCGGAAGCCUGAUGCAGCAACGCCGCGUGCGGGAUGACGGCCUUCGGGUUGUAAACCGCUUUCGCCUGUGACGAAGCGUGAGUGACGGUAAUGGGUAAAGAAGCACCGGCUAACUACGUGCCAGCAGCCGCGGUGAUACGUAGGGUGCGAGCGUUGUCCGGAUUUAUUGGGCGUAAAGGGCUCGUAGGUGGUUGAUCGCGUCGGAAGUGUAAUCUUGGGGCUUAACCCUGAGCGUGCUUUCGAUACGGGUUGACUUGAGGAAGGUAGGGGAGAAUGGAAUUCCUGGUGGAGCGGUGGAAUGCGCAGAUAUCAGGAGGAACACCAGUGGCGAAGGCGGUUCUCUGGGCCUUUCCUGACGCUGAGGAGCGGAAGCGUGGGGAGCGAACAGGCUUAGAUACCCUGGUAGUCCACGCUGUAAACGGUGGGUACUAGGUGUGGGGUCCAUUCCACGGGUUCCGUGCCGUAGCUAACGCUUUAAGUACCCCGCCUGGGGAGUACGGCCGCAAGGCUAAAACUCAAAGGAAUUGACGGGGCCCCGCACAAGCGGCGGAGCAUGCGGAUUAAUUCGAUGCAACGCGUAGAACCUUACCUGGGUUUGACAUGGAUCGGGAGUACUCAGAGAUGGGUGUGCCUCUUUUGGGGUCGGUUCACAGGUGGUGCAUGGCUGUCGUCAGCUCGUGUCGUGAGAUGUUGGGUUAAGUCCCGCAACGAGCGCAACCCUUGUUCACUGUUGCCAGCACGUUAUGGUGGGGACUCAGUGGAGACCGCCGGGGUCAACUCGGAGGAAGGUGGGGAUGACGUCAAGUCAUCAUGCCCCUUAUGUCCAGGGCUUCACGCAUGCUACAAUGGCUGGUACAGAGAGUGGCGAGCCUGUGAGGUUGAGCGAAUCUCGGAAAGCCGGUCUCAGUUCGGAUUGGGGUCUGCAACUCGACCUCCUGAAGUCGGAGUCGCUAGUAAUCCCAAAUCAGCAACGCUGCGGUGAAUACUUUCCCGGGGCU